AAACAAUUAAAAAAGCAGCUGCAUCGUCUCCAUUUUCUCUUCAAUAAUACUGCUUCCUACCUCUGGAACAACUCUACAAACUGAAGCUCUGAACAAAGGACUGAAUGACUUAUCCAAGCUGUGGAUGUUUUUCAGAGGGAUUCUCGAGACAGCAAACUCACCAAUACCUGAUAUACGGACUUUGAACUCUUAUAGACCCUGCCCUAUCAACUGAGCUUUCUGAUCUCAAAGGCAGAGAAAGAGGUGCAGGCCACUCCGGAUCCAGACCUGGCAAAUCCUUGUUCCCUCCUGUCCAGAGAAGAGAGUGUGAUCUACAAA